rnacentral:rRNA from 1 species
ACUCCCUUCGGGGAGUGCAUAAAGUGGCGCACGGGUGAGUAACACGUAAGUAAUCUACCUUCGAGUGGGGAAUAACCCGGGGAAACCCGAGCUAAUACCGCAUAAUGCGGCGGCAUCGCAAGAUGACAGUUGUUAAAGGAGCAAUCCGCUUGAAGAGGAGCUUGCGGCAGAUUAGCUAGUUGGUAAGGUAAUGGCUUACCAAGGCUACGAUCUGUAUCCGGUCUAAGAGGACGGUCGGACACACUGACACUGAAUAACGGGUCAGACUCCUACGGGAGGCAGCAGUCGGGAAUUUUGGGCAAUGGGCGAAAGCCUGACCCAGCAACGCCGCGUGAAGGAUGAAGUAUUUCGGUAUGUAAACUUCGAAAGAAUGGGAAGAAUAAAUGACGGUACCAUUUAUAAGCUCCGGCUAACUACGUGCCAGCAGCCGCGGUAAUACGUAGGGAGCAAGCGUUG